rnacentral:rRNA from 1 species
CCCCUAGAUGUUCUGGGCCGCACGCGCGCUACACUGACGAAUGCAACGAGCUUAUAACCUUGGCCGAAAGGUCUGGGUAAUCUCCAAAUUUCGUCGUGAUGGGGAUAGAUUAUUGCAAUUAUUAAUCUUCAACGAGGAAUGCCUAGUAAGCGCAAGUCAUCAGCUUGCGUUGAUUACGUCCCUGCCCUUUGUACACACCGCCCGUCGCUCCUACCGAUUGAAUGGUCCGGUGAAGCGCUCGGACCGCGGCCUCUUGACGGGUCUCCGUCGAUUGGCUGUGGGAAGUUCGUUAAACCUUAUCAUUUAGAGGAAGGAGAANUCGUAACA